AUGCGGCGGCGUCGACGUCCCCUACCCGUUCGGCAUCGGCGCCGGCUGCUUCCGUCCCGGCUUCGAGAUCGCCUGCGACAGGAACACGACGCCGUUUUUGCCCGACGCCACCAUCAAGGACCACACGCUCCGCCCGUGCGCGUGCUGAACCUAACCGUGACGCCGAGCGCGCGGGUCCGGGUGAUGCUGCCUGUGGCGCACCAGUGCUUGGACGCCGCCGGCAGCUUCGACGGCGGGCUGACGGUCAGCAAGCUGGGCGUGUACCGCGUCUCCAACACCGCGAACGAGCUCGUCGUCCUGGGCUGCAACACCCUCAUCUACGCCAGCAGAGGGAAGUCGAGGUCCCAGGUCCAGAACGCGUCCACCACCGCCUACUUCAGCGGGUGCGUGGCCUACUGCAACAAAGCCCAGAAGGCGCGGGACGGCAUGUGCAACAGCAUCGGAUGCUGCCGCGUCGAGAUCUCGCCGCUGCUCACCAGCACCAGGAUGAGGUUCGAGAAAUGGCCGCACGCGCGCAUCGACAUGAAGCAUCCCUGCAGCUACGCCUUCAUCGUGCAGAAGGACCACUACGUCUUCAAGGCCGCCGACCUCGGGAGGACGCCGGAGCCGGACCCGGCCAAGCGAUGGAGCAUGCCGCUUUGGCUCGACUGGGCCAUCCGCGACGGCAGCAACUCCUCGGCCUGCCAUUUGCCGGACAAGACGCCGGGAUACGCUUGCGUGAGCAACCGCAGCGAGUGCGCCAAGUCCACCAACGGGGUGGGAUAUUACUGCACAUGCAACCAAGGCUACGAGGGCAACCCAUACCUGGUCGAUGGAUGCACAGGUAAGAAGUGUGCUACAAAAACAACACAGAGACUCCGUAUUUGA
rnacentral:rRNA from 1 species